UCUGUAGGCGGUGCGGCAAGUCGGGAGUGAAAUUUCUGGGCUUAACUCAGGGACUGCUUCCGAAACUGCCGUGCUUGAGUGCGAGAGAGGUGAGUGGAAUUGCAGGUGUAGCGGUGAAAUGCGUAGAUAUCUGCAGGAACACCCGUGGCGAAGGCGGCUCACUGGAUCGCAACUGACGCUGAGAGACGAAAGCUAGGGGAGCAAACAGGAUUAGAUACCCUGGUAGUCCUAGCCCUAAACCAUCAGGACUUGGGGUGCAUCCCGUUGGGGGUGCGUCCCGUAGCUAACGCGUUAAGUCCUGCGCCUGGGGAGUACGGUCGCAAGACUGAA
rnacentral:rRNA from 1 species